rnacentral:rRNA from 1 species
GAUGAACGCUGGCGGCGUGCCUAAUACAUGCAAGUCGAGCGAACAGACGAGGAGCUUGCUCCUCUGACGUUAGCGGCGGACGGGUGAGUAACACGUGGAUAACCUACCUAUAAGACUGGGAUAAUUUCGGGAAACCGGAGCUAAUACCGGAUAAUAUAUUGAACUGAAUGGUUCAAUAGUGAAAGACGGUUUUGCUGUCACUUAUAGAUGGAUCCGCGCCGCAUUAGCUAGUUGGUAAGGUAACGGCUUACCAAGGCGGCGAUGCGUAGCCGACCUGAGAGGGAGGACGACCAGCCGGGAACUGAGGCACGGUCCAGACUCCGACGGGAGGCAGCAGUAGGGAAUCCUCCGCAAGGGAGGAGAGCUUGACGGAGCAACGCCGCGGGAGGGAUGAAGGUCUUCUGAUCGGAAAACUCUGUUAUUAUGAAAGAACAAAUAUGUUAGUAACUAUGCACGUCUUGACGGUACCUAAUCAGAAAGCCACGGCUAACUACGUG